CCUACGGGAGGCAGCAGUGGGGAAUAUUGGGCAAUGGAGGAAACUCUGACCCAGCAACGCCGCGUGAAUGAUGAAGGUCUUCGGAUUGUAAAGUUCUUUUCUAAGGGAAGAAGAAAGUGACGUUACUUUUGGAUUAAGCCUAGGCUAACUACGUGCCAGCAGCAGCGGUAAUACGGAGGCGGCGGGCGUUAUCAGGAAUGACUGGGCGUAAAGGGUUCGUAGGGGGUUAGGUAAGUUAGUAGCGUAACUCCGAGGCUCAACCGUGGAAGUACUUCUGACACUGGUGGACUUGAGUACAGGAGAGGCAAGCGGAAUUCGUGGUGUAGCGGUGAAAUGCGUAGAUAUUAGGAAGAACACCAGUGGCGAAGGUGGGUUGCUAGACUGUAACUGACACUGAUGCACGAAAGCGUGGGGAUCAAACAGGAUUAGAUACCCCAGUAGUC
rnacentral:rRNA from 1 species